CAGACCGGGGGCUCUUUUGCAUCUGGAGCCCAAGGGAGCCGCAGGGAGCCCUGCCCAGGACAUAAAAGCUUCCUCCCUCCUUCCUGCCCCCUCAGGGCUCUGAGUGCUCUCUGCACAGUCUCUGAAGGCCAGGAUGAGCUCCCCAUGGCAGCUGCUCUGGCUCCUGGUGCUCUGGGCUCAGGAUUCCCAGGGAGCCAUUGUGCUGAGCCAGUCUCCAGCCUCCUUGUCCGGAUCUCCAGGAGAGAGAGUCACCAUCAGCUGCAAGGCCAGUCAGAGUGUAUAUGACUACUUGCACUGGUACCAGCAGAAACCUGGCCAAGCCCCCAGGCUCCUCAUCUAUGGUGUUUCUAACCUGGAAUGUGGGGUUCCUGCCCGGUUCAGUGGCAGUGGGUCUGGGACAGAUUUCACUCUCACCAUCAGCAGCCUGGAGCCUGAGGAUGCUGCACAUUAUUACUGUCAGCAGGGUUAUGAAUGGCUUCCCACAGUGCUUCAGGCCUGAACAAAAACCUCCCCA